AGUCAUAACCGUUAACCGGAACAUUCACACCACGCUAUGAUUCAACUUCUUAACCAUUAUUAAGAUUACCGUAUAUUGAGACAUUAGUGAUAAACGGUUCGGGAGAUGUUUCGUUUUUUUGAAGAAAGUAACGCGACGCAGCAACGGAUGAUCGAUCACUGCAAACAGAGCGCGAGUCGCGACAGGUGACCUGAUUACCGCGAGACGAACAGGGGCGUGUUCAGGGUUGCUGAAGCUUUACGUGAUGAUGAAAUUGUUAUCACAAAAUAUUGAUCUAUAAUAUCUAUGUGCAAUGUGUGUUUAUUACUGAAAAAUUACAUGAACAUUUUGAAAAAAAAUUGACAAGUAGAUUCAGCUGUUGGCUUCCACCAAAUCAGGUCAGAACGGCAUGCAGCACGGGACGGAGGAAAGCACGACUAGGGCUGAGGAAAUGCAGCUACAAUAAAGAAUGGGAAUUUAUCUAUCCCUGGGUGAAACCAGUGCAAGGCAAUUCUGGUAAUGCUUUGUGUGAAGAUCGCUUGAGUCAUUUUUCCAUUUCACACGGAGGUGAAUACUUCGUGAAACGACACAGACAAUGCGGGAGUCAGAAAAAACGUUAUUAUUGUGGCGACUCCUCCGGGGUCGCGCAGGGGAUCCUGGGAAUUGGUGUUGAUAGUUGAAAAAGGGGCUUUUGUCAACUUGUUUUGUUGUUAGGUUAAGUGGGGUUAAUGGGUUCGGGGUUGUGUGUAGUUGUGUGUUGUUUAAAGUUAACAUGUGUGUGUAUCGUUGCCGCCACCAUCACUGACUAUGACAUGUUUGUUCUUUGGAUGUGCUGUUUUCCUUUUACUUUGGUGGUGCGUUAAAUAAAGGCGACUCUCGUAGUCGUGCGGUGCGAUUUACUUUAAUAGAUGACAGCAAUUUAACUAUCUUCACAUUUCUAUCAUUGGAAUGAUAAUAAUUAAUAAUAUAAUUAUUAUAUUUCAUUAUAAUAUAUUUAUCCCCCGCCCUACCAUUCACAGAGCGAAGAUUAUGACGACAACGUCUCAAUUUGCGGGACGUGUACAAUGUAAUAUAAAUGCGGGACUGUCCCGCACAAAGCGGGACAUAUGGUCACCCUACGCCGAAGGGUACUGUUACCCGUCUGUGACAGAAGCUAAAGUGCCCUUGCCAACAGUCGGAAUUUGCAGUGAGACUGUUGGUCUGACAGUUUAUCCCCAAGUGUCUGCCAGUUCAUCACCGAGUGUCUGACAGUUUAUCACCGAGUGUCUGAGUCGGCGACAGUCAUGCGGUGAUGCGGUUAUUUGGUUCACACACACACACACACACACACACACACACACACACACACACACACACACACACACACACACACACACACACACACACACACACACACACACACACACACACACACACACACACACACACACACACACGUUUCCCUGACACUUAUCAGUCAAUGAUUUAUUUGCUUGUUUCACUUUUUCUUUGAACUUCAUUAUCUCAAUAUUUCUUAUUAUUCCGAUGUUUGAUUAAUCAGGCCUACCUUAGCACAGCUAAGGUUGGGCUGGCAGCAUGCAGUGAUAUGAUACACUGAUCGUUUAAAACAGCCCUUAUGGAACGUGACCACAUCUUUACUUUCUGUCUCCAGAGAGAGAGACCCGAGUCUCCAAGCAGUCAAGUCUCAAGUAGGUCAAGUCCAGUCUCCCAGCAGGGAGUCUGAGUCCAGUCUCACAGCAGGGAGUCUGAGUCCAGUCUCCCAGCAGGGAGUCAGAGUCCAGUCUCACAGGUCAUGUCAAGCAUCAAGUCUCCAGGUUUGUUGGCCGAAUUCUGCUCUGUUGACGAGUGAUUGAUGAGGAAGCAUCGACUCUGUGGGCAGCUAUGGGAUUAACACAUUUAUUACCCAGCAUACAUUUGGGGGUGAUACGCUUGUGUCUGUAUGUUUUAACAUUAACUGUUAGUUUGCAAAUAAAACAACUAUUCAUUCAA